AACAUUCUCAGCACAAAAACACCAGGUCACCAGUCCAAGACGCCACCAUGCGGCAGACGUCAGCUAUAACGUUAAUGUUGGAGAGUAGGCCUACUGGUUUCAAUGGGAGGCAUUAUGUAAUCCCACAACGAGACAUCAUUUGGAGUUGGUUUUGCCCUGGAUGCACACGUGUUCAGCUGGAUUGACAUCUGAGUGUGAAGGCCAUUGCAUAUGGUAGCCUACACAAUAUAACAUAAUAGAGACGUUUUAUCAGGAUUGUCCACGGAUGAGACUGGCUGGGGUUCUUAUGUCGGCCUUCUUCAGGCCCCGGGCUAAAAUACCAUGCCGCACCAUCUGGGACUGUUGCAGGGAUUGGACACUUCUUUGAACCUGCUUUCAAAGACAGCGGUCCCCACCACCGCGUAUCUCAGGUCGUUGUUGUGAAUCUGUAUAGGCAGAAACAAACUAUAAAUGCAAACAUUUAUCUUCUGCAGCCUGCAGCCCUCUGUCAAUGUUGAGCCCUGGAUUCAAACUAGCGAGCAGGAAAUGUGCAAAGCGAAUUCAGUAACAAAAUUUCUGUGGAUGUACAGCACCACCUGAUGGACUCAGAGCUCCAGAACAGUACAUGAAGAUGAGGAAUGACAACCCUAACACUGAACCAUUAGGAGACUGGACUUUUCUUACCACUGGAAGGGGUGAGAAAAGUCUACCUGCUCUUUACAAAGACAACACUAAAAAGGAUGACUGGAUGGGGAACAAGCUCCUGCUACAUCUCUGUGGCCGGGACCAUUUGUUUUGACUGAACAUGAAUCAGAAUCAGAAUCAGUUUUAUUGCCAGACUGCUGGUGGGUGUGGUCGCCAGUGCUCUGGUCUACUCACCUGAGGCUCCUCACAGCAAUCAAGCACACCUGUUCCACAUCCUGCAAUCUACUCAGCUAUAAAAGCCAGACCAACCAUCAAGUCCCUGCUGGAUUGUUGUACUGCUCACCUGGACCCCGGACUCGCAGAACUCACCAUCACCACAAGACCCAGAGCACUGGAACCCAGAACACAAACCCUCUGACCAACCAGAACAUCAACCGUCCAGCCCUCAUCUCUGUUUGCACUUGUCUUGAAUAAAUUCUUCUUUAACUGAA